AUCACUCUCCAACUCAGUUCCCAUGGGUCGACUGACUUAAUCACCAAUGUAUGAACCAUGCCUUCUCUCACAUGACAUGCAGACCAAGGAUGCAGUCUAUAAUGCAUUUGACCAUGGCCAUGAAAUCAUCAAAUUCUAGCAUUUGGCAGCUGAUGUUAAGCAUUUUGGUUCUUUAGUUCUUUCAACAUAAUUAAUUAAAAGACUGGGGCA
rnacentral:lncRNA from 1 species